rnacentral:rRNA from 1 species
GAUGAACGCUAGCGGCAGGCCUAACACAUGCAAGUCGAGGGGUAGACAUCUUCGGAUGUUGAGACCGGCGCACGGGUGCGUAACGCGUAUGCAAUCUACCUUAUACUAAGGGAUAGCCCAGAGAAAUUUGGAUUAAUACCUUAUGGUUAAUAAAGCCGGCAUCGGUUUAAUUAUAAAGAUUUAUUGGUAUAAGAUGAGCAUGCGUCCCAUUAGUUAGUUGGUAAGGUAACGGCUUACCAAGACGAUGAUGGGUAGGGGUCCUGAGAGGGAGAUCCCCCACACUGGUACUGAGACACGGACCAGACUCCUACGGGAGGCAGCAGUAAGGAAUAUUGGUCAAUGGACGGAAGUCUGAACCAGCCAUGCCGCGUGCAGGAUGAAGCAUCUAUGGUGUGUAAACUGCUUUUGUACGGGAAGAAAAAAAGCUACGUGUAGUUUACUGACGGUACCGUAAGAAUAAGGAUCGGCUAACUCCGUGCCAGCCGCCGCAGUAA